GUGCUCACUUCGGCAGCACAUAUACUAAAAUUGGAAUGAAACAGAAGAUUAGAAUAGCCCCUGUACAAGGAUGACACACAAAUUAGUGAAGCAUUCCAUUGAAAA
rnacentral:snRNA from 1 species